AGAGGAGGAGAGCCUCCACUUGGAUACUCUGGUCGUUAUGGAGGAGGAGGCGGUGGUGGUUACAACAGAGGUGGUUACGGCAUGGGAGGUGGAGGAGGAGGAGGGUACGGUGGUGGACCUGGAGAUAUGUAUGGUGGGCCGUAUGGUGAGCCAGCAGGUGGUUAUGGUGGACCAAGUGGGAGUUAUGGAAGUGGAUACGGUAGUGGUGGGUAUGGUGGAGGAGGCUAUAGAGGCAGCAGUGGUGGGUAUGACAUGGGUGGUACUGGAGUUGGAGGCGGAGGAGGUAAAGUAGAAUCCAACGGUUAAGAUUCAUCCAUUGUAAAAUUAAAAAACACGGGAUCCAGUGCUACGCGGAGUAUAAUAAGUAUUGUCCUCCUCUCUCUUCUAAAGGAUUCUAGGGCUCGCUUACUGCGCUACACGGCUUUUAGGCGGCUGCCUCUUCUUUCUUCUUCUUCUUCUUCGCCUCGAAGGUCUUUACGGUUUCGAUUUUUCUCGGCAAUGGACCCUUAUGCAACGGAAACAGUCGUGGAUGAGGAGAACCACGAAGUGAAACCAUCCGAAGAUGUUGAGGACGAUGACGACAAAUCUCAGCCUCAAUCCGGUGGUGGCAUCGAUAGCGCUGGGUAAGUUUUCUCAAAAUAUUCUAGAUUCAAUAAUUAGCGUUCGAAUUGAGAUAGAGGAGAAGAAAAUAGCAUCGUAUUGUUUUCGAUUCUUCUGUUACAAAAAUUCGUGAUAGGGAAAUAGAAAAGUUUUCAACUUUAUAUGGAUACUCUUACUGAUUGGUGAAAGCCUAGAGAAAUCUGGAGUGGAAAAGGAUUACUUAUACUUAGUGAGUUAGUCUACUUAUACGGUGUUUUUUUUGGAAUUUGUAGAAAGAUAUUUGUUGGAGGUUUAGCCAGGGAGACAACUUCAGGUUAGCUCUUUGUGUCUGGUUGCCACUUUGUUAAGAAGAGGUUAGCUCUCUCGUUAUUGGGUUAAAGUUCAAUACUUUAUUCGGAUUCUUUUUUAUCUGUUUAUGCAGCUGAGUUCGUCAAGCAUUUUGAGAAGUAUGGAGAGAUUACAGAUUCUGUGAUUAUGAAGGAUAGGAAAACUGGACAGCCCCGAGGGUUUGGGUUUGUUACUUAUGCUGAUUCCUCUGUGGUCGAUAAACUUAUUCAGGACAAUCACAUUAUAAACGGGAAGCAGGUUAGUAUUUAGCUAACAAGCUUAAGUGUGUGUUCUUAAGUUGUGUCUUACAGUGAAAUAACGUUUGCUUCUUCUUUUUUGGCUCUUCAGGUUGAGAUUAAGCGGACGAUACCGAGAGGAUCCAUGAGCUCCUCCAACGAGAUCAAAACCAAGAAGAUAUUUGUUGGGGGAAUUCCUUCAACUGUUGAUGAUGGUAGGACACUUGGCUCGUUUAUCAUAAUAUUGUCAUUUCAUGAUCAUGUCUAUCUGUGAAGUAACUCAUCUGGUGAUUGGGGUUUGUGUAGAUGAGUUCAAGGAGUUCUUUAUGCAAUUUGGGGAGCUGAAGGAACACCAGAUUAUGCGUGAUCACGCAACUGGAAGAUCACGUGGGUUCGGGUUUGUUACAUAUGAAAGUGAAGAGAUGGUUGAUCUUCUCUUGGCAAAAGGGAACAGAAUUGAGCUCUCUGGGACUCAGGUAACCAAAUAUUGUUGAGAUUCUAAGGCUUUUGUAGCUAAACAGAACACUUACAUCUCCCUCUUACAUUGUUGUAUUGUCUUAUAUAGGUUGAGAUAAAGAAGGCAGAGCCAAAGAAACCAAACUCGGUAACAACCCCAUCAAGGCGGUUUGGUGACUCAUGCUCUAACUUUGGCGGAGGCUAUGGAGACGGUUAUGGUGGAGGACCCGGCGGUGGAUAUGGUGGUCCAGAUGGUCCUUACAAAUCUGGUGGCGGCUAUGGAGGUGGCCGGUCUGGUGGCUAUGGAGGGUACGGAGGAGAGUUUGGCGGGUAUGGCGGCGGUGGAUAUGGUGGUGGUGUUGGACCAUAUAGAGGAGGAGAGCCUCCACUUGGAUACUCUGGUCGUUAUGGAGGAGGAGGCGGUGGUGGUUACAACAGAGGUGGUUACGGCAUGGGAGGUGGAGGAGGAGGAGGGUACGGUGGUGGACCUGGAGAUAUGUAUGGUGGGCCGUAUGGUGAGCCAGCAGGUGGUUAUGGUGGACCAAGUGGGAGUUAUGGAAGUGGAUACGGUAGUGGUGGGUAUGGUGGAGGAGGCUAUAGAGGCAGCAG
rnacentral:lncRNA from 1 species